rnacentral:rRNA from 1 species
CGCCUGUUUAACAAAAACAUGUCAUUUUGUAAAUAAUUUAAAGUCUAAUCUGCCCAUUGAAAAUUUUAAAAGGCCGCGGUAUUUUGACUGUGCAAAGGUAGCAUAAUCAAUAGUUUCUUAAUUAGAAGCUGGAAUGAAUGAUUGAAUGAAAUAUUAACUGUCUUAUUAUAAUUGUUAUAGAAAUUAAUUUUUAAGUUAAAAAGCUUAAAUAAUAUUAAAGGACGAGAAGACCCUUUAAAGCUUUAUAUUAAAGUUAUUUAAUUAAAAAAAGAAAAUUUAUUGUUAAAUAAUCUAAAUUAUUUUAUUGGGGUGAUAGGAAAAUUUAUUUAACUUUUUUUAAAAAUUUUACAUAAAUUAAUGAAUUAUUGAUCCAUUUUUAAUGAUUAAAAGAUUAAGUUACUUAAGGGAUAACAGCGAAAUAUUUUUAGAGAGAACAUAUCGAUAAAAAAGAUUGCGACCUCGAUGUUGGAUUAAGAUAAUUUUUGGGUGUAGAAGUUCAAUAAUUUGGUCUGUUCGACCAUUUAUUCUUACAUGAUCUGAGUUCAAACCGGAG